UCUGUGAAAUCCGAAGAUCUCUGCAGCGAAUCGAGGAGAAUCGCUGUGCUCCUCCAUGGCCAGCGAGAGGAUGGGCGACACUGCCUAUGGAGUAAGUGCUAUCCCCUCCUCUUUCUUGUUUGUUUGUUGGCGAGAUGCAGUAGAUCUGAGGGGAUUUUUGUGUUCCAUUUUUUGUUUGGAUCAAGUCCAGAUUAGUAGCUUAAAGCAUAAAAUCGUCCCUUUUUUUUAUUCAAGCGGUGGUAAUGUAGUGUGUAGAUAUGAGGGGAUUUGAGUCCAGAUUAGUAGUUUGAAGCAUACAGUCGUCAGUCCAUUUUUUGUAUGAUUUUCCUUCAGACUUUUUGGCCAUAUCAAUUUUUUUGUGAAAUCAAUUGCAUGUUUGAGGAUUAUUACUGAACUUAAAUCCCCUCAUAUCUAUUACUGAGCCAUCAAUACGAGUGGUUCAGUCCCUUGUUUUUUUAUUUAGAUUUUUUCAGAACCCCUAUCUAAUCAGUAGCAUGUUUUUUUAAUCUUUCUCUAGAAACAAGAGAGAUUAUCACUGAAUGUAUCAGUAGGAGUGGGUAUGUUUAUUUGUUUUUCAGAAUCCCUAUCUAAUCAGUAGCAUAUUUUUUUGAAAUCUUUCUCUGGAAACAUGAGAGAUUACUACUGAAUCUAUCACUAGGAGUGGGCAUGUUUAUUUGUUUUGUCAGUUUUUUUGUGAGACCCUAUUUAAUCAGUAGCAUGUUCGAAUACCUCUUUUUGUGGAAUCAAAAGAGAAUGAUUAAUGAAACUAAGUUUCCAGCAGCAGCAUGUUUUCCGACUUUUCUUUUUUUGCUGAAACAGUAUGAAUCAGUACAAUGUUCAUUUUUUUUGUAUCACAGUUCGAAUGGCUGGAUCUCAGAAUCACGUAGAUGGGAUAUGAAUCAAGAUAAUAUUGUCUUUUGAUAGAUUCAUCUUUUUUUUAUCUCCACAUCACAAUGUAAAUAUAUUUUCUGGUCAUUAGCGUCGACGCCAAUGAUAACUCAUCAUUAUCUCGAAAUCCUUUUUGUUCGGAAGCAUACAAGCAUCACACUAAAAUCAUUUAGCUGAAUGUGUAUGCCUCUCACUAGCACAAAUUUAUGUUUUGGCGCCUUUUUUUGCAUAGGAGAUGGUAUGCAGAGUUUGUCUGAGCCCUUGCAACCACGAGAGGGCAAGCGGCAUCAGCAUGUAUGUCUGGAAGGAGUUAAAAAACGCAGGGGUAACUCCGCAGCCUCUGUUUAUUUUUCAUUUUCAGAUCCUUAUUUCUUAGUUUAUACUCAUCAGCACAGAAUAUAUUUGUUGAAGGUUGACCUUUUUGUUUUCUUUUUUUUUUCUCCCUGAGUUUUGUAGUAGAGGGGAGCCCCUAGUUAACUAGUUGUUUACAUUGAAUCAUUGAUUUUUUUAUUCAGUGUGUUAAGCUCUUCCUGUGUGGUUAGAAAGUAGAAACAUACUUACUGUCAUAAUAGGGAUUUUAUAAGUCUAAAAAAAUAGGGCUCAUUUGUUAAUGUUUGUAGCUUGGCUUUACUUAUAGAAAGCACGGCCAUGAUUUUAACUAGCAGCAGCAAUUAUCUUUUUUGAUUUUGUUAGUGCUUUACUAGCGACGAUCUUCUCUUUUUUGUAAAUGUGUUUUUUUGCACUGAUAUGUUGGUUCAUGUUUUAAGAGUUCAGUGUAUCUUUUUUUUCUAGCCAUUUUUUUGACCCAUGUAUAAUGUAUAAUGUAGAGUGUAGAUUUUUGUAGAAUUCACAGUUUGAUGUUCAUGUUCAAACCAUGUAGGUUGUUUCCUGUAGAUUUUUGUUGCUUGUUCCUGUCAUUUGUAAUUUUUCUGAUUUGUAGCUCGUUUCCUGUAGCUUUUUUUUUCUUCAUUUUUUGUCGUUUUGUUCACUCAUGCAUAUAUGCUAAUUUAGACUGAAUUUUAGGUUGUAGCAGCUUGACUCUCUUUUUUUAUAUCAGUGCUCAACGCAUCAGGCAGAUUCAUGAUCGUUUGUUUAUUUGAUGUAUCUUUUGUUACAAUAUUUUUGUUAUCCAGCACAUGCUAAGCUCUGCAUGUGUGGCUAAAGAGGAGAAACACACUUACUGUCAUAAUAGGGAUUUUUACUACAUUUUUUCGGACAUGAUUUUUUUCAUAACCAUGAGGAUGCCUUUUCUAUUUUUUACAAUGAUUAUUUACUACACUUUUUGGGUUUUUGUUUUUCUGUCCAACAAAACAUGUUGUGUCAUGCAACGAAUGGUUUCGUUUCAACAACCCGACAAGAGAUAGGCUGAACUUUAUGGCAAACAAACGGAUGUACACUAGUCAUGCAACUGUAAGUGUUGUACGCGACAACAACUGUAUGUCUUUUCCAACAUGGUUGCAAUUGGGGCUUUAUUUUGUUGGAGGAGUCGACGAGGAGAGAGAGGGGGGAGCAGUUCGCAUGUUUUUUCUAAUUAUGGUUUGCAUGCCCAAGUGUAGUCAUGCAACUGCAUGUGUUCUAACUAGGGUGCAUUUUUGUGCAUUUUGUUUUUCAUCGCGAGGGACCGAUGAGAAGAGGACUAGUUGCAUGUCCCACAAACUACAAUCAGAGGGGACAACAGAGAGGGAGGGGGGCUUAGUUGCAUUCCUCGGUCGCAAUUGCAUGUCUUCCAACUAUGCUUGCAACCACGCUUUUGUUUUGUCAGAGGGACCGACGAGGGGAGGGGCCAGUUGCAUGCCCAAUUAUAUUUACGCAACUGCAUGUCUACCAACAUAGUUGCAACUGGGAUCCCUUUUUUUGUUGGAGGGGGCGGUUGGAAGAGAGACGGGGCUAGUUGCAUGUCCAACUAUAGUCACGUAACUGCAUGUCUUCCAACAUAGUUGCAACUGGGGAGGCCUUUGUUUUGUCGGAGGGGGCAGCGGGAAGAGAGAGGGCACCAGUUGCAUGUCCAACUAUAGUCACGUAACGGCAUGUCUUCCAAUGUAGUUGCAACUACACGUCUUCUAACUUGAUUGUAACUAUGCUUUUUAUUUUUUAUUGGAGGGACCGAUGAUGAGAGGUCCCAUUUGCAUGUCCCACAUUAGUCACGCAACUGCAUGUCUUCUAACUUGGUUGCAACUAGGAUUUUGUUUUUGUCGGCGGGACCGAUGAGGAGAGGGGUCAAUUGCAUGUCCCACACUAGUCAUGCAACUGCAUGUCUUCUAACAUGGUUGCAACUGGGCUUUGGCUUUGUCAGAGGGACCGACAAGGAGAAGAGCUAGUUGCAGGUCCAACUAUAGUCAUGUCUUCAAAAAUAGUUGCAAAUGGGGCCCUUUGUUUUCUCGGAGGGAGCGACGGGAAGAGAGAGGGGGGCCAGUUGCAUGUCAAACUGUAGUGACGGAACUUNNNNNNNNNNAGUUGCAAAUGGGGCCCUUUGUUUUCUCGGAGGGAGCGACGGGAAGAGAGAGGGGGGCCAGUUGCAUGUCAAACUAUACUGACGGAACUUGCAUGUCUUCCAAACAUAGUUGCAACUGGGAUGGGGGAGGGGGCUUUGUUUUGUGGAGGGGGCGACGGCAAGAGAGAGGGGGCUAGUUGCAUGUCAAACUAUAGUCAUGCAACUACAAGUGGCUUUGUUUUGUCGGAGGGCGCGACAGGGAGAGAGUAGGGCCAGUUGCACGCCCAACUAUAGUCAUGCAACUGCAUGUCUUACAACAUGGUUGCAGUUACAUGUCUUCUAACUUGAUUGCAACUUGGGCUUUUGUUUUGUUGGAGGGACUGACGAGGAGAGGGGCCAGUUGCAUGUCCUACACUAGGGCACGCAAUUGCAUGUCUUCUAACUUGGUUGCAACUAGGGCCUUUGUUUUGUCGAAGCGGGUGGCGGGAAGAGAGAGGGCGCCAAUUGCAUGUCCAACUAUAGUCACGCAACUCCAUGUGUUCCAACUUGGUUGUAACUCGACUUUUCUUUGUCGGAGGGACCGACGAGGAGAGGGGCGAGUUGCAUGUCCCAUAUUAGGUAGUUAACUGCAUUUCUUCUAGCUUGGUUGCAACUGGGGCCUUUGUUUUGUCGAAAUAGGUGGCAGGAAGAGAGAGGGCGUCAUUUGCAUGUCCAACUAUAGUCAAGAAAAUGCAUGUCUUCCAACAUGGUGGCAACAUCAUGUCUUCUAACUUGGUUGCAACUCGGCUUUUGUUUUGUCGGAGGGACCAACGAGGAGAGCAGUGAGUUGCAUGUCCCACACUAGGCACGCAACUGCAUGCCUUCUAGCUUGGUUGCAACUGGGGCCUUUGUUUUUUCAAAGNNNNNNNNNNUCGCAACUACACGUCUUCUAACUUGGUUGCAACUAGGUUUUUCUUUUUGUCGAAGAGGCCCAACAAUGAGAGGGGCCAGUUGCAAGUCCUACACUAGUCACGCAACUGCAUGUCUUCUAACUUGAUUGCAAUUGGGCUUUCGUUUUGUCGAAGAGACCGGCGACAUGAGGGGCCAGUUGCGCCUCUCAUACUAGCCACGCAACUGCAUGCCUUCCAACAUGGUUGCAACUACAAUCACGCAACUACAUGUCUUCCAACAUAGUUGCAACUGGGGGCCUUUGUUUUUCUCAGGGGAUGGGGGGAGGGGUAAGAGGUAAGAGAGAGGGAGCUAGUUGCAUGUCAAACUAUAGUCACGCAACUGCAUGUCUUCUAACUUGGUUGCAACCGGGGGGCCUUUGUUUUGUCGGAGGGGCGGCUGGAAGAGAGAGGGCGCCGGUUGCAUGUCCAACUAUAGUCACGCAACUGCAUGCCUCCCAACAUAGUUACAACUGGGGUCUUUCUUUUUGUCAGAGGGGGCGGCGGGAAGAGAAAGGGGGCCAGUUGCAUGUCAAUCAUCAUCCAAAUCAUCAUCAAAACUCAUGCCCUCUGCGAAACUAGGUCCAUGGGUAGAACCAUCAACGGCUUCAUCAUACUCCAAGUCAUCCUCACCUUCAUCAAACUCUAAAUCAUCGUCAUUCAUGUUUUGUUCUGUGUAUCUAGGUUGGUAGCUACAACCUGCAUGUUCUUCAGUUGUGUUGCCAUCCUAGCUCCAACUAGGGAAACCUUCUGCCCACCACAUUUUCUGCAUGUUGUUGGUUGCCCCCUGUCGUUUUGUCCUUGCAAACGCCCAUACUGUUCGGUUAACAUGUACAUGUCAUUCUGCAUAGUAAUAAGAAGAAUAAGAAAUGAGGACAUUUUUAUUGUCACACGUAGGGCAAAGGACUGGGGGGAAUAUGUAUACAUAUGUAAAUGAGUCAAUUUUAUUUGUACGAAAACCCCCUGCCACGAAACUUGUUGCUGACCAAAAUGUUGGAAUCCACCAAUUCUAGUCUGUCACCACAAAACAUGUAAUGUAAUUUCCAUUUUCCUUUUUGUCAUUUUCCCCAUUUUUUCCCCUUAUACAUCUCAACAUCAACAAAAAAAAGGCACUUUAAGUACCUCUUGACUAUCAGCCAUCAACAACUGUGUGUAACUCAUGUUGCUACCUCCAAGUAAAUUCAUUUCCUGCAUUUUUACUUUUUGUAUGUUAGAAUUUGAUAAUAAUUUAAGUUUUUUCUCUCUUUUUUUCAUAGUUACAAGGUGUGCAACGGAGUUCCACAUUAUUCAUCAAAGCAGAGAACUUAUAGAGGGGACAAGCUUUCCUUUUUUUGCCAUGAAAAGCUAGUACAUGUGGUGCUAAUGUAAUUGAAGAUGGUUGGAAUGCUAGAUGCAUCCCAGCUUGCUGCAGUUGCACAUGUGGGAUACCAAGGUAUGGCUGCUGCAAACACAAAGUCGUGUUUUCGUCAGUUUACUGUUAUUUAACUUUUGUUCCCUUUUCAUUUUUGUUGUCACCCACAAGGAUAUGUAAUUACAAUCUAAGGAAUUUUUUUUGCAUUUUUUUCCUUCUCACCUGAAUUGGGGUCUGCAAACUAUGCGGAGUUGGAGCCCAACUGUUCGGAAUUUUUUGUGCCAAAGUAUUCUUCGGAUGCUACACAAAAUGCAGGAAACAGUAUGUGUCAAUCUGAAUGCAUGAGAUAUCUUUUUUAUUUUUCUGCAUUAUACAAACAACCACAUUCAUCAGUUUUAUUAUGUGUCAAGGACAGAAAGAUUCAACUUUUUUUUCUUCAUUCUAUAAUUUUUGGGAAGCAAGGAAUGAAAGAUUCAAAUUUUCUCUGUCCAGAACAAGUGUUUCACCAUGCUAAGUAUAUUUUUUGGGUCAAAAUAGUGCAUUCAAGAUAGACAGUCUCCACCCCAAAGUGUAAAUCUGGGAAUCCAAGGAAUAGAUCAUAACUUUCAGCCAUGUCUGUUUCUACUGUGUGCUUUUUUUCCUGGAGCUUUUGUAGUAGUUUGACUGAACAUAUGGAAAAAGCACCAUCAUGGAAUUUACCAUCUGUUAAUCAACUACUACAUGUGCAGCAUGCUGAGACAGAAUGAACAACAUGCAGGUAUAUCUAUAAAAAAAUUGAAUUUUUUUCAGGCAGAUUGAACAACAUGCUGAGAUAGACGAAGUUUUCCCAUGAGUUUUUCUCAGAGACAAACAUGUGUGCCCAUCAGGAAAGUGCCAUACUGCUCCAAGAUUGCUGGGGAAAAAAAAUAAGAGAAGUAAGAAGGAAAUCACAAAUUUUUCAGAUCCAAAAUUAACAGGGGAAGAAGAACAUGAAAAGGGAGGAGCUGUAGAUGGAUCCAUGGAUGCAGCGGGGAGGGUUUUGCCUGGGUGGUGUUGUCACAAAGAAGGAACGAAGAACUGGCACAGGAACGAAAGUUUUUCCUGUCGUUUAGCUACAAAAAUGGGC
rnacentral:lncRNA from 1 species